rnacentral:rRNA from 1 species
UACGUAGGGUGCAAGCGUUACUCGGAAUCACUGGGCGUAAAGCGUGCGUAGGUGGUUUGUUAAGUCUGAUGUGAAAGCCCUGGGCUCAACCUGGGAAUUGCAUUGGAUACUGGCAGGCUAGAGUGCGGUAGAGGGUAGUGGAAUUCCCGGUGUAGCAGUGAAAUGCGUAGAUAUCGGGAGGAACACCAGUGGCGAAGGCGACUCCCUGGACCAGAACUGACGCUGAGGCACGAAAGCGUGGGGAGCAAACAGG